GUUGGUUUUGACAGAAAAGCUGAAUUUAAAGCAGAAUGGCUACCAGAAGGAUUCGAAGAGCUAAUCAACAACAGAAAACAAGGGUUGCUGGUUCGCAAUUGGGCACCCCAAUUGGAGAUUCUGUCACACAAGUCCACUGGAGCAUUUCUCAGCCACUGUGGUUGGAAUUCAGUACUGGAAAGUUUAAGUCAAGGUGUGCCGAUUAUAGGAUGGCCUCUAGCAGCAGAACAAGCAUAUAAUUCGAAAAUGCUGGCGGAAGAGAUGGGUGUUAGUGUGGAGCUGACAAGAGGACUGCAUAGCAAUAUAACCUGGAAGGAAGUGAAGAAGGUGGUAGACUUGGUAAUUGAACCAAAAGGGAAAGGUAAUGAUAUGAGGAACAAGGCCAUGGAGAUUAGAAAGCUAAUGAGAGCAUCAGCAACAGAGGAAGGGGAAGAGAUUGGGUCCUCUGUAAAAGCAUUAGAUGAUCUUGUGAAAACCCUUUUAUCCAGAAGACGAGAGAAUAAGCCAAUUGCAUGAAUUAAGUGAAUGGAAAUUGGGAUAUUUAGCUCUUCUUAUGUUACCAAAUUCUUCAACUGAUGUGAUUCUCAGUGCUUAAUUAUUU
rnacentral:misc_RNA from 1 species